CCUACGGGAGGCAGCAGUAGGGAAUCUUCCACAAUGGACGAAAGUCUGAUGGAGCAACGCCGCGUGAGUGAUGAAGGUUUUCGGAUCGUAAAACUCUGUUGUAAGGGAAGAACAAGUACGUUAGGAAAUGAACGUACCUUGACGGUACCUUAUUAGAAAGCCACGGCUAACUACGUGCCAGCAGCCGCGGUAAUACGUAGGUGGCAAGCGUUGUCCGGAUUUAUUGGGCGUAAAGCGCGCGCAGGUGGUUUCUUAAGUCUGAUGUGAAAGCCCACGGCUCAACCGUGGAGGGUCAUUGGAAACUGGGGGACUUGAGUGCAGAAGAGGAGAGCGGAAUUCCACGUGUAGCGGUGAAAUGCGUAGAGAUGUGGAGGAACACCAGUGGCGAAGGCGGCUCUCUGGUCUGUAACUGACGCUGAGGCGCGAAAGCGUGGGGAGCAAACAGGAUUAGAUACCCUGGUAGUCCACGCCGUAAACGAUGAGUGCUAAGUGUUAGGGGGUUUCCGCCCCUUAGUGCUGCAGCUAACGCAUUAAGCACUCCGCCUGGGGAGUACGGCCGCAAGGCUGAAACUUAAAGGAAUUGACGG
rnacentral:rRNA from 1 species